UUCGCAAUGCCCGAAAGGGUGACGAAGCGACGCCGCGUGCGGGAAGAAGGCCUUCGGGUUGUAAACCGCUGUCGGGAGUUAAGAAAUGCAAGGAUGUUAAUAGCAUUCUUGCUUGACUAAGGCUCCGGAGGAAGCCACGGCUAACUCUGUGCCAGCAGCCGCGGUAAUACAGAGGCGGCAAGCGUUGUUCGGAAUUAUUGGGCGUAAAGAGCACGUAGGCGGCUAUGUAAGUCGGUUGUGAAAGCCUUCCGCUCAACGGAAGAACAGCAUCCGAUACUGCAUGGCUUGAGUGCGGGAGGGGAGAGUGGAACUUCUGGUGGAGCGGUGAAAUGCGUAGAUAUCAGAAGGAACGCCGGCGGCGGAAGCGACUCUCUGGCCCGUAACUGACGCUGAGUGUGCGAAAGCUAGGGGAGCAAACGGGAUUAGAUACCCCGGUAGUCCUAGCCGUAAACGAUGGGCACUAAGUAGAGGGGUUUU
rnacentral:rRNA from 1 species